rnacentral:misc_RNA from 1 species
AGUUAAUCCAUAACAAAAUGACAAAUGAGUCUGAGUGAGAAGACAAAAGUAAUAUUUCAAGUAUGCUUGACUACGAAUGUGGUCGUUCAGCGUAUGCGUGAGUAGAAAACAAGAUCUUCAUCCAUAUCACCCAUGGAAAAUCAUCAUGAUCCAGAUUGAAUUCAAAUUCGGACUCUUUAUGACAGCGUGAUAUAGUGCCUUAUCUAUCCAACCGAUUGAUAUCGUCGAAAGUCCUAAAUAAUCGUAUAGAUCACGCGUAUGGACAAAUGUAGCGCAAAAGCUUAAAAAUGAUCUAUUAUUCAUACGGAGGAAAAAGUGUUUCGUGGUUCAGCGAUAGCCGAAGGAAAAGUCGAAAAUUAUUUGAGGACGAGAAAAUCCUCCUUAUACGAUCUGCUUGUGAAGAAUGGAGUGUUAAAUCCCUGCUAAUUAUUUUACGGGUAUUUUUUUUUCAGUAUAACUUUUGUUUUAGAGAACGUGUUUUUUAAUUCUUGUAAACGUUUAUUGAAUUGUAAACAUUGUCAAUCGGGAACUUUAACCAAUGAAAGAAUAACGGCCUUUGUUAUUUGUUGUUCAUUUGCAUAGGUUGGUUAAAGUUGUAAGAUGUUACAAGAAGCUUAUUGGAUGACAUGGGUAGAAAGGAUUGUAUCAUUGGAUGGCGUCACAGUUCCUUAGUUUAGUUGCAUCCCAUUGGUUCGUUCUCAGUGUGCCAAUCGAUGCCUCCUUUUCUUGUUAUUUUGCUACUUCAAUAACAAGUUGUGGUUGUCAACAGUUAGGUGAAAAGGUUGGACGUUACGUUACCGAUAAUGUUGACAUUUUUCUCAAACGUUUAUUUUAUCGAAAAAAAAAAUACGCUACGAUAUUUAAAUCGAAACUCCCAAUAUUUGUAUUUAAUAUUUCAACGUAUAAAAAAAUUAAUUCUUUAGAAAGUAUUAAAGAAAAAAUCUUUCCGAUUUUAUCGAUCAUGGAGACGACGUAGAAAAUACUGAGCCCAUUAAGCAUCGUAUCAAGUUUCGUGCUAUAGUCUGUAACGCUAUUUUACAAAAAGAAAAAUAAGGAAUUGUAGCUUGAUGUAUUUUGAUACUCGGAAAAGGUUGGUUUAUUUUGCAGCAUGGGAUCUUAUCCAUCAAUUCCUUAACAUAUAUUUGUUUCAUGCAAAUCCUACGGUGUAGAUUUUAAAAAUCCCAAGCGACUUUAAAUAACCACAGUAUUUGACGUUAUUUGAGUCAUGUCUCUUCAUCAAUAGUCCUGAGCCAAGUUGCUUCUGGUCCCCAUUCCCCAAACCAAGCAUUACUUCUGUUAUAGACGAAUGGAUAGUGGGCAUUUUUCGCGGUGUUAGAGAAUAUAAAAGCCCUCUGUGCCCAAUCCGUCUUGUUUUACUAUGCUCGAGUAUGAGAGGCUUUUUUUUUAAACUAAAACAAAGAGGCAUUGCUUUCCUAACUGAUUCCGAUUCAAAUUGACUAAUUGUAAGCGGGAAAAAUCCGUUCGGUUCGAUACGAAGCGGUUAAUGUCGAUUAUUAUUUUAAAGAACUGGAGAAAAUUAUGCACUUUAUAAAAGCAAAAUCUUGUCACACACUGGCAACUGACGGGAAAUUAGAAAACCGGUCGAAAGACCUAGCUUUAUUGAUUGAUUGAUUAGCUGUAAGCGGUCGACUAUAAACGUGUAGACAAGCCAUUAGCCGGACAACCAACUCCCCCAUCAAAAACAAUGGACAGAUAAACCCUAAGUGGCCAUCCUUUCACCGCCUCCUAUAGCAGCCUUCUCUUUUGUUGUUUUUUUCUUCUGUCUCCUCUUUCUUUCAAUCGAAACACACAAAGACAGCAGUAUGCAUCAAAAGCCAUUAAACACUACGACCAACUGUCUCCAAAGCCAAACAGUUAUAAAUCACCAACUCUCAAGUACUCUUACAGUUGGUCGGUUAGAAGAAAAUUAAUUUAUUUAAUGCCCGAAUGAGGCUUUUAGGUCUCCUGGGAGAGCAAAAUCGUACUCGAGGAUGAUUAAAAAAUUUAUAAAACCAAUACUUAAUUCCACGUUAAUUCUCCUCCCGCUUUUUAUCGAAGUAAUUAUCGGAUAUUUUUUUUCUAAUAUUGCUGGAGUGGCUUUUUUUUUUAUUUUUCACUUUUUUAGAUCCAAAGAUGCUUUAUAGAUUUAAAUUAUUACUAAAUUUUUAUGAUGAAGUUUUCGACUUAAAAUAUUUUAAUAUUAAUUUUUUAGUUAAAAUUUUUGAAUUUUUAAGAUGUUUUUCAAAUUAAAAUGAAGGGAAAAAAAAACAUAAUUAGAUGCGGCACAGUCUAUAUAAUGUAGCAGAUUUUAAUAGUCUAUAAGCGUGUGAUGAACGAGACUGGAAAGGUGUAGUGUACAGUACAUCUGUGUCCGGAUAGUAUGGCAAUAUGCUGAAAAGAGCCUUUUUCAUAAUUUCCGCACGAUUGAUUCACUGCAAAUUGCCGCAGAAGUCGUUAAUUGUCCGAGUCAUAAAAAAUUCUUUAAUUAUCUUCCUUCGUUUAUGAGCUUGUUUUUAUCGCGCUUCCGGUGACGUCAUAUCCGGAUGUCCAUUUUCUCCAUUCGCGAUAAUGGUCAAUAGAUAAAUUGGUCGCGACGGAGUUGACAGCAGUCUAUAGCCGGCAGUCCACAGACAGUUAUAAUAUACGCUUCGGUAAUUCUUUCGCUUGUAAGAAAGAACAUUGAUCCACAUCCUCAUUAAGAAGAAGCUUUUGAUAUUUCAAUUUAAUUCGCUAAAUUUGUUGGGGGUUUCGGUCGCAAAUUGCAGGUACCGCGCUUGUUUUAACUGGUGGAUAUGUUGAUAGUCUAUAUGCAACAGUUUUUUUUUUUCUUUUUAUUAUUGAAAGGAAACCAUAAGAGUUAGCAGUGUAUGGCAUUUGAUGGAUGAGGAUAUAUCUGCUAGACUUUUGGUACCAGAUGAAAGUUGAUGAGAGAUGAGGUUUAUGAUAGAAGGCAUCUAUUGUCUUUCAAAAGGCCGAUCUAUCAUACCUUAACUUGGCAAUUAAAUAGGCAGCGACGACUAUCCUUAACUCUUAAGCACAGAUUUUUUUCGAGUCUCUUUCACCCUGCCAAAGUUUUUAAUUUCUUUACAUAAUUAAUAAAUCUCUAUUCAAAGAGUAAUUCCGGCUUAGUGUUUUUUAACGAUUUAUGAUUUUUUUUCUAAUUUUCUCCGAAGCGACGAAAAAAUUUGAUUUUGAUAAAUCUUCGUCGCUCUCCCGAGAUAAUUUUUAAUAGUUAACGUAGUUUGAACCGAUUUGAGAGUUUUAGAGAGCAUUCAUUACUUUUUCUCGAACGUAUUGCCGAGAAGUUAAAUUUAAUUAGAAUUACCUGGUUGAUAGCUUUUGUUUGCUUUUUAAAUAUUCAAAGAGUCUGGUUAAAAAAUUUAAAUUCUUAUCUCAAACUAUUAAAAUUUCAUUAGCAGAUGAUUCGCUUCACUUUCAACCACGAGAAAUUCUAUUUUCCGAACUUUAAGCAGAAUUUACAUUUUGUUUUUAUGAAUUGAAACUAAUAAUAAAUGGAGCGAGUUCCAGUAAAGAUGGAUAGAGAUGCUUUUAUCGUUGCUUUUAUCAUAUUUUUCGAUUGAUCGUUCGCUUUAAAUCGAUAUAUUACGAUCGUAAUAUUUCGCAAUUAAUAUUAAUUUCAUCGAAAUAUAAAAAGUCUCAUAUUUAAAUAGCUAUAAAAGUAGCAUUAUCAGUUUAUAUCUGAUACACGCAUAGGCCACAUGUCUAUGUAUUGACCGAUUAUUUUCUAGGUUAUUGAGGAAAUCCAUAUUAUUGAACUAAAUGAUAAAUUCAAACAGUCUGAAUUAUUUAAAUCUUAUAUUUUUUUCAUUAAUUUUUUCGAUAAAGAAUAAUUUAUCGAAACUUUCAGUUUGUUGCUAUUUUAUAGAUAUAUUUUUGUCUAGAAUUUUAUAUGUUUUAGCUGUAGUAUUAGGGAGAAAAAAGAUGCGAGGAGGAUGUGUUCCAGGAUCGUUUCAUUAAAUUAGUUGUAUUGUAAAUUGGUCGGCUUUUCAAGAUAGACAAAUAGCGUCGUUACGUUGUACGGUAACAAUAUGGUUCAUUUACAGUCUAAUGGAGGCUUCUUAGAAAAAAUUAUUUUAAAAUAUUUUUUUAUAUCUUGAAUGCAACUUUAAAUAUCACAUAAAUCGAAAUUAAAUUACAUAAUUGGAUUAAUAAAUUGACCUUAAUUAGUCAUUCGAAACGAUUGUUUUUUAUUUUUCUUUCUUCUCGCCAUCAAUGGAAAAGGUUUUUCUAUCUCUUAACAUUUGAGUCACGGACCAUCCACACUUGCUUCAAGUGGUUGACAACAGAAGGACUUGUUCUCUGCUAGUGACACGUGAUCACCUAACAGCACUUCUGCCAAUCUGAUUGAGAUGGUUAGAUCAAAGAGAUCGCUGAAAAGAUAAUUUUCCAAAUGACGAAAUGCAUAUUUUUGCCCGUAGUUAAUUACUAGAAUUUAAUACAAAAUGCAUUAAUAAAGAGUAAUUUACUACGAUGGAAUCGAUUUAAAUCUGCCUAAUUGUUUUUUUUUUGUUAUUUAAAAUUUAAAUACAAUGUUUCUACAUAAACGAUUUUGCAUUUUAACAGAUAUGUAUUUCCGUCGCUAAACGUGGUUCGUAUGACGAAACAAAAAGAUGGAAGAAUAAAAAGAGUAAUACGUUUAACCCGAACAUCUGUUAACAUAAUCUUUCUUGCACCAUUGACAUAAAAUUUACAUAUUUUACCAAUUUUCCGAAUAUAUCCCUUUAAUAUUGCAUCUUGAAUAAAGUAUAUUUGUAGCUAAAAAAGACAAGAGAGCGUGUAACCGAGAUUGGUUACAAACUUAAAUAUUAGAAUUCGACUUAGUUUUUUUUAUUCGUCUAAUGAUUUGUUGAUGUUGGUUACCGAUCCUAUUUAAACAUUUACAGUAUUGGCAGGAAAGACAGGACACGUGUUCUUUGUUGUCGUCACGUGACUGAUGUCCGGUUUAGCGGGUUGCCAUGGUAUCAAGGCGUCAUUUCCUACAUCUUUAGCCCGACGCGAAACGUGACAUCACUUCCAGGACAUUUGGACCGGUAGUCACGUGAAAUUACAGGGCCCCUGUAAAUGUGUUUUCGCCUUUAGACAUUCGUGUCUUGCUAAAAUGAUCGACUAAUGCAAACCCAUUAUUGAAAAUUUUAAUAUAUUUGGGAAUUACUUUUCGACUAUAAAUUUGCAGUUUCGGAAUAACUUAAUAGUGUUUCCAAAAUAUCUUCUUUUUAGUGAAAAAGUUGCAUUUGUAAUUCGAGAGAGUAGUACUUUCAUUGAUGGCAGUUACCAAAGCAUCAGUUCUCUGAACUUUUGUCUUCUUUCGAUCGACUUAACUUUUGGCUGAUGAAUGGAACCUGUCGAGAUUGAUGGUUCUUUACCUGGAUCCACAUGGAUUCACAAUCUUCAAUUCUACACUUUUUAUUCGAAAUGUCUCGUUUAAAAUGACUUUUAUUUUGCCACUUCUUAGUUUUAAUCACGGAGAACGAAACUCCGAGAACAAUUACUUUUCUAGAUUAAUUUAUUGAAUGAAUUUUAUUUUCAGGUGUUUUUUAAAGGACGAAUCUCUCUCUCUCGAGUUUGCAUUGAAAACUAAUAACGACGAGAGUUUUGAUGUAAAUUGUAAAAUGCAAAGGGGGGAAAAACAUAUAAUUUAGUCUGAUAAUCAUUAUAAUAAAGAACAAUCAAUAAACCUUCAUAAUAUUUAUGAGCCCAUUCCCGAUUUCAAUUUUUGUAUCUUUUCUUGCAUGAAAAUUAUAGUUAAGUCAGCAGCUUGGGAGAUGGUGGAUUUAUCGAAGAUGAUGAUGCACGAUUUUCAUAUUUUUUUCUUAAUAGUAAACGAUUUUUCAGCGUUCGAUAUCGGAAUCAUUUCUAAUAAUCAUAUAAAAAUUCUUCUAUUGUAAUAUACAAGCGAAAGAAUAGGUUAUUUUUCGCUUCCAAACGGAACAGUUUUGUCAUUCAAUAACAGCUGGUGCAAGUUACAACCAUAAUUACUUCUUCCAAUAUUAGUGUGUCGAUUGAGAUGCUUCGGUCUCUUGACCACAUCGCCGUCCAUUCUGAAGAAUAAAACUUCACGGAACUAGUUUCUAUAGCAACGACUUUAUCUCAUUACGUUAGUGUGCAAGAAGUGCUUACUAUUAUACACUAUUUAAAAAAAAAAAAAUACGAUUCCCGUCCACUCUAGUAGAACAACGAAUGGAAUUUUCUGUACCGUGUAAGCUCAAUGAUCUAUCUACCUUCUCCCCAUUCUUGUGUGGAAAUGCCAUUUAUAUAUAUCUACGUCUACUCUUACUGUUCUUGUAAAGCGGGGAUUUUUCAAAACGUAUGCUAAAUCUCCUUUUUCAUCUUUCGACGGUUUUUCCGUAAUUUUUUCACUCUAAAUUAUAGUUCAGGCUUAGAGAGAGGUUUUCCUCCCCCUCCUUCCUGCGCGUACCGUCAGAGAUAAAGGGAAAAAAAACCUCCAAGCUCUGCUGGCUCUUACCUGUUCCCUCAGCUGCUUUAAUAUCGAUUUUUUAAAACUCGCUCUCCUCUCCUUCACUAUAGCACGAGCACGUUUAUCGACUAAAAAAAAAAUAGAAUACAAAAAAAAA